GUCGUAACAAGGUUUCCGUAGGUGAACCUGCGGAAGGAUCAUUAACACUAAUCCAUCUCAACUCAACAAAGCCUUUAGUUGUAGCAGUGGUAACAUUGCUACAGCAUCUUACAAAACUAAUUAAUCAAAGGAGCCUAAGUAAGCACCAACACUAAAACCAAAUUCUCAACGGUGGAUGUCUUGGUUCCCACAACGAUGAAGAACGCAGCGAAGUGCGAUAAGCAGUGCGAAUUGCAGAACCGUGAGUCACCAGAUUUUUGAACGCAACUGGCGCCGUGCGGGGUCACCCGCCGGCACGCCUGGUCCAGUGUCUUGUUCUCUCCUCACCCAAAUCCUUAUGCGAGAGAUGCCCUUCUCUUGCCAAGCAUGAAAGCACUCUGCUUACUGCGAGCGGCCUUCGGGUCGCGCUCCAUGCAGACGUCACAUUUUACAAUGUGAACUCAUGGAGAGCGGUGGCAGUGCAGCGUCAGCUGCCAGUGCUUAGACAAACCAACUUAGGUACAGUAUCUGGGCUCAGGUGGGACCACCCGCUGAACUUAAGCAUAUCACUAAGCGGAGGAAAAGAAACUAACUAGGAUGGCCUCAGUAACGGCGAGUGAAGCGGCCAGAGCCCAAGAUGGUAAUCUCCGUGCUGCGCACGGCGAAUUGUAAUCUAGAGAGGCUAUGCUCAACGGAGGGUGGCGCAGAAGUGCCCUGGAACGGGCCGCCAGAGAGGGUGACAGCCCCGUACGUGGCGCCGCCGUCUAACGAGCAGGUCUUCAAAGAGUCGGGUUGUUUUGUAUUGCAGCCCUAAGUGGGAGAUAAACUUCUUCUAAGGCUAAAUAUAUGUGGGAAACCGAUAGCGAACAAGUACUGUGAAGGAAAGAUGAAAAGCACUUUGGAAAGAGAGUCAAAAGACCUGAAACCGUUGAGGAGGAAGCGGUAGAGAUGAAUUCUACGGCGAAGCGCGUUCAAGGCCUAACCACCAUUGUAUGGGGAAGCCGAUAGCGUGACGUCGUGAGGCCGGAUGGGGUGACGCGAUCACAGAGGCCUUUCAAGCCUGGCGCGACUUGUCGUGCAGCUUGGGAGUGCCGGUGGCCGCGUGGCCUGAGGGUGCCUUGUGCGAUCCGGUCAAAAUGGUCUUUACCGACUCGUCUUGAAACACGAACCAAGGAGUCUAACGUACGCGCGAGUGUGCCGGUGCAGAAACCGACACGCGUAAUGAAGGUAAAAGAUGCCAAGCGCAAGCAGCAGCAUCGACCGACCAUGAUCCUCUGGUGAAAGGUUUGAGUAAGAGCGCGUCCGCUAGGACCCGAAAGAUGGUGAACUAUGCGUGA
rnacentral:rRNA from 1 species